rnacentral:tRNA from 1 species
GCGCCGGUGGUCUAAUGGCAAGACCUUGGCCUUCCAAGCCAAUGAUCCGGGUUCGAUUCCCGGCCGGUGCA